AUGAACUGGUUUCCUUUCAAAUUACGCAUAAAUCUUUCGUCUUUUACUAAAGAUUUCAAUGGAGGGGAACAAUUGAUGAGUCAAAGAUUUUUUGUGCUGAAAGUCCAGCC
rnacentral:snRNA from 1 species